rnacentral:lncRNA from 1 species
GUUACAGUAGUUAGCUUUGGCUUGUGCAAGAAGAGAGAAAAAAGGCUGUAAAACCUUCCUAUAUUCCUCUGAAAAUAAUUCAAAAGUAAGAAGGGAGAAAAGAAGCCUUGGAAUUAUGCCAAGUGGAGGAGAACUGAAGAAGUCUGUCAGCGAGCCCUCAGGCUUCAUGAGGAGUUUCAACUGUUUUUUCCAAAGUCCUGUGCCUCGUUUUCCCCACGUAGAGAAGGAAGUAGUAAUCAGUAGCAUUUCUUCCUAAGUCAUCAUCAGUAACCUGAAAGAAGAGGCAUCCAAAAUGGACAUAAGCAGAGAAGUUGCCACUUGUUGGAGGCACAGAAGAUACAGAGCAGCACAGUGAAAAGCAUCCUUUUCAAGGGAGCCUGUUCAAAGGUCUUGUAAGAAAGUGUCACCUGUGUCAUGUCUUCAAAUGGGAGCCACCACCACAGCUGCUAAGAAGGGUUUUCCUCCAUCGGCUAGCCUCCAGGGCCACAGUCAGUAGUCAUACAACUGAAUCAAUCUGGAUUAAAGUCUAAAUAUGUAAUAUGAGGAUUAUCAUGUUUGUUAUGGGAUAGCUAUGGG